GCCCGGGUGGUGGAAUGGCAGACACAAGGGACUUAAAAUUCCUCGGCUGUAUAAGCCGUGCCGGUUCGAGUCCGGCCCCGGGCA
rnacentral:tRNA from 1 species